GAGAAGCCGAAUUAACUUUGAGCCCAGCAUGAAUCUUCUUCAGACCUGACAGCAGUUGGGAGAAAGUGAUUUUUAUGCUGAUAACAGUGGUGGAGAAGAGGGGAAGAUAAAAGUGCCAAUCACCUGAACCCCCAGAUGUUCCAUUCCACUAAAAAUCUCUGAUCUACUGCCUUUCUGUUAAAGGUCAGGAUCUACGUUAUUGAGACUUUAAACCCUGAGUCGUGACUAUUCUUCAUCUGUGCUGUAAAAGCAAACAAAUAAAUGCCAAGCAAAGGGGAGUUGGAGGAAAAAUGAGAAACCAUUUAGUGAAAAAGAAAGAAAAGCAUCAAUUACAGUCACAUUGUACUUCAGCAAAAGAAUGCAAAACAAGAACAUAAGAAAAUUAUGAUGAGGAAUAGUCCAAUUGGUCCAUUGAGUCUUCUCUGCUUUCAAUGCCAUCAUAGCUGAUUUUUUGUUUUCAAUUCCACUUGCUGCCCACUCCCCAUAUUCCUCAAUUCCAUUUCACAUGAGAGAUGUUGAUUGUUUUAAUUGGAUUAUACUAUGCAUGAUUUGCCAGACUGCACCUACAUAAACUGUGACUGCAUUUCAAGGAUAAUUCAUUGGCCAUGAAGUGCUUUCAGAUAUCCCAAGAGCAAGAAGAACAUUAUGUAAAUAAGAGUUAUGAU